UACAGAGGUGGCAAGCGUUGUUCGGAAUUACUGGGCGUAAAGGGCGCGUAGGCGGUUUGUUAAGUCGGCUGUGAAAGCCCGGGGCUCAACCCCGGAGGGUCAGCCGAUACUGGCAGACUAGAGUACGGAAGAGGUAGCUGGAAUUCCCGGUGUAGCGGUGAAAUGCGUAGAUAUCGAGAGGAACACCUGAGGUGAAGACGGGUUGCUGGGCCGACACUGACGCUGACAGCGCGAAAGCCAGGGGAGCAAACGGG
rnacentral:rRNA from 1 species